rnacentral:rRNA from 1 species
UACGGGGGGAGCAAGCGUUGUUCGGAUUUACUGGGCGUAAAGGGCGCGUAGGCGGUCAGCACAAGUCAGUUGUGAAAUCUCCGAGCUUAACUCGGAAAGGUCAACUGAUACUGUGCGACUAGAGUGCAGAAGGGGCAACUGGAAUUCUCGGUGUAGCGGUGAAAUGCGUAGAUAUCGAGAGGAACACCUGCGGCGAAGGCGGGUUGCUGGGCUGACACUGACGCUGAUGCGCGAAAGCCAGGGGAGCGAACGGG